rnacentral:rRNA from 1 species
UACGGAGGGUGCGAGCGUUGUCCGGAAUCACUGGGCGUAAAGGGCGCGUAGGUGGCGCGGGCAGUCAACGGUGAAAGUUCGGGGCUCAACCCUGAAUCGGCCGUCGAUACUCCCGGGCUUGAGCACUGUAGAGGCAGAUGGAAUUCCGGGUGUAGCGGUGGAAUGCGUGGAGAUCCGGAAGAACACCGGUGGCGAAGGCGGUCUGCUGGGCAGUAGCUGACACUGAGGCGCGACAGCGUGGGGAGCAAACAGG